CACGUAGGGUGCGAGCGUUGUCCGGAAUUAUUGGGCGUAAAGAGCUCGUAGGCGGUGUGUCGCGUCGGCCGUGAAAACCUGCAGCUUAACUGUGGGCUUGCGGUCGAUACGGGCAUCACUGGAGUUCGGCAGGGGAGACUGGAAUUCCUGGUGUAGCGGUGAAAUGCGCAGAUAUCAGGAGGAACACCGGUGGCGAAGGCGGCAUCCUGGACCGAUACUGACGCUGAG
rnacentral:rRNA from 1 species